rnacentral:rRNA from 1 species
UNAGANUCUGGCCGUCGUUUUCAUNCACUCUCCCGCGNNAAGUGUGNUGGAUUNCCGCUUCCUACGGGGGGCAGCAGUGGGGAAUAUUGCGCAAUGGGGGGAACCCUGACNCAGCAACGCCGCGUGAGCGAAGAAGGCCUUCGGGUCGUAAAGCUCUGUCAUAAGGGACGAAGUCUCUAUUUAGUAGAGGUGACGGUACCUUAAGAGGAAGCCCCGGCUAACUACGUGCCAGCAGCCGCGGUAACACGUAGGGGGCAAGCGUUGUCCGGAAUUAUUGGGCGUAAAGGGCGUGUAGGCGGUUAAUUAAGUCAGGUGUGAAAACCCGGGGCUCAACCCCGUGAUUGCACCUGAAACUGGUUAACUUGAGGGCAAGAGAGGGAAGCGGAAUUCCUAGUGUAGCGGUGAAAUGCGUAGAUAUUAGGAGGAACACCAGUGGCGAAGGCGGCUUUCUGGCUUGACCCUGACGCUGAGGCGCGAAAGCGUGGGGAGCAAACAGGAUUAGAUACCCUGGUAGUCCACGCCGUAAACUAUGGGUACUAGGUGUAGGAGGUAUCGACCCCUUCUGUGCCGCAGCAAACGCAUUAAGUACCCCGCCUGGGGAAGUACGUUCGCNAGAAUGAAACUCAAAGGAAUNGACGGGGGCCCGCACAAGCGGUGGANCAUGUGGUUUAAUNCGACNCACCCCNAAAAACNUUACCAGGUCUUGACAUCCCUUGACANCCUUANANACANGNUUUUCNUUUUUGGNAAANGAAAAANGGGU